rnacentral:tRNA from 1 species
CCUGAUAGCUCAAUUGGUAAAGAAUCUGCCUGCCAUGCAGGAGACCCUGGUUUGAUCCCUGGGUCAGGA